rnacentral:miRNA from 1 species
GUGUGUGUAUAUGCGUGUUGUAUGUGUAUAUGUGUAUAUAUAUGUACACAUACACACACACGCAACACACAUAUAUACAUGC